rnacentral:rRNA from 1 species
CCUACGGGAGGCAGCAGUAGGGAAUAUUGCUCAAUGGGGGAAACCCUGAAGCAGCAACGCCGCGUGGAGGAUGAAGGUUUUCGGAUUGUAAACUCCUUUUGUUAGAGAAGAUAAUGACGGUAUCUAACGAAUAAGCACCGGCUAACUCCGUGCCAGCAGCCGCGGUAAUACGGAGGGUGCAAGCGUUACUCGGAAUCAGUGGGCGUAAAGGGCGCGUAGGCGGGGUAGAAAGUCAGAUGUGAAAUCCUAUGGCUUAACCAUAGAACUGCAUUUGAAACUGUUAUUCUAGAGUAUGGGAGAGGUAGGUGGAAUGCUUGGUGUAGGGGUAAAAUCCGUAGAGAUCAAGAGGAAUACUCAUUGCGAAGGCGACCUGCUAGAACAUAACUGACGCUGAUGCGCGAAAGCGUGGGGAGCAAACAGGAUUAGAUACCCGGGUAGUC